GAUGAACGCUGGCGGCGUGCCUAAUACAUGCAAGUCGAGCGAACAGACGAGAGUGCUUGCACUCUCUGACGUUAGCGGCGGACGGGUGAGUAACACGUGGGUAACCUACCUAUAAGACUGGGAUAACUUCGGGAAACCGGAGCUAAUACCGGAUAAUAUUUAGCUUCGCAUGACGCAAUAGUGAAAGACGGUUCUGCUGUCACUUAUAGAUGGACCCGCGGUGUAUUAGCUAGUUGGUGAGGUAACGGCUCACCAAGGCAACGAUACAUAGCCGACCUGAGAGGGUGAUCGGCCACACUGGGACUGAGACACGGACCAGACUCCUACGGGAGGCAGCAGUAGGGAAUCUUCCGCAAUGGACGAAAGUCUGACGGAGCAGUGCCGCGUGAGUGAAGAAGGUUUUCGGAUCGUAAAACUCUGUUGUAAGGGAAGAACAAGUACGUUAGUAACUGAACGUACCUUGACGGUACCUUACCAGAAAGCCACGGCUAACUACGUG
rnacentral:rRNA from 1 species